AGGUACAGGUGAGGGGUGAGGUACAGGUGAGGUACUACAAGGAGGAUCACUGGUCACCAUCGCCUAUUGGUGCUCACUCGAGGAUAGUGAUGAAGGAAAUGAUGGUGAGAUGGUGAUGGUGAUGAAGAUGACUCACACACCGCUAUAGUGCAGGGUCCAAGAUGUCGUGGCUGGGCGGGGACGAUCCUGGGGGCGGGUUCGGGUACGACUAUCCAUGGUGGGCGGCUGAAGAAGGACUCGGUGGACGAACUAACAGGACGUGGGAGGAGAGGUGUAGGACCCUUGACUACGACUACCACAUCGUCACCGCCGUCAUCUGUGCCAUGUUCCUCGUCUUCGGCGUUGUGUACAGCUUGUUUGGUUACCGGUGCUUCAAGGCCGUCAUGUUCCUCACUGGGUUCAUCUUUGCAUCUGUGGUGGUGUACCUGAUAUGUCUGAGUGAGGACCUGCUGCCCCUGGUGGGUAACGCGGGCGUGGCCCUUGGGGCGGGCGUCAUGUUUGGGCUCAUCACCAUGCUGGUGCAGUACGUGGGUCUCUUCAUGACGGGGCUACACACUGGACUCUUUCUCGGUGUGGCCGGCAUCGCCAUCGGUUAUAACUGGUGGGUACCCAGUAGCGUGUGGCCGGUGGUGGGGAUCCUACUGGCCGCGGGAUUGUUGUUGGCCAUUCUGACGCUGUACUUCCAGAAGGGGCUGACCAUCCUCGGUACAGCCAUCAGCGGAGGAGCCAUCAUGUCCGCCACCCUCGACUAUUUCAUCGAGAAGUUCUUGAUGGUACACUGGUUCGAAGACCGAUUGAAGGCGGUGGAAAGUGAACGUCCGUGUUGGUUCUCGUGGAUGAUCCUCGGUGUGUGGCCGUUCAUGGUGGUGGUGGGCAGCCUGACACAGUGGAGGAUCACGGGGAGAGGCAUUUAUCAUCAACAGUUGGUGCCCUCCAAAAAGUCUCGAAGUGUGAACCUCCAGCGAAUGCGGAGUCGAGAGGCCAGGGCUGAGAUGCGCCAGAAGAAAUACCGGUAUUUGUAUCAAGUUCGUACUGCUCACGGGGACAUCAUCAGCCAGGUGAAUAUGCCAGUGUCCGAUCUCAGAUAUACCACUGUUAGCGAGGCUUAGCAGUGUCUGUCUGGCGGAUUCGCGGUGGUGGGACUAACUGGUGGUUGUGCCGUCUUUGCGAGUGUUCAGGAAUAUAUUCAGAGUCUUCAGCGUAAGGCUUAUCCGACUGGUGACAACGGAACUCUCCAGUCAGACUCCACCCACACCACCAUGCUACCCCCAGAGCAGACACAAUUGGCGCCACUCACCGAGAGUGAAGACGAGA
rnacentral:misc_RNA from 1 species